rnacentral:siRNA from 1 species
CUAACCAACCUACUUCUUGCU